GGAUUCCCCUAGUAACGGCGAGUGAAGAGGGAAGAGCUCAAAUUUGAAAUCUGGCGGCUUACGGUCGUCCGAGUUGUAAUCUAGAGAAGUGUUUUCCGUGCUGGACCGUGUACAAGUCCUUUGGAACAAGGCGUCAUAGAGGGUGAGAAUCCCGUCUACGACACGGACUACCAGUGCUCUGUGAUACACUCUCAACGAGUCGAGUUGUUUGGGAAUGCAGCUCAAAAUGGGUGGUAAAUUCCAUCUAAAGCUAAAUAUGGGCGAAAGACCGAUAGCGAACAAGUACCGUGAGGGAAAGAUGAAAAGCACUUUGGAAAGAGAGUUAAACAGUACGUGAAAUUGUUGAAAGGGAAACGCUUGAAGUCAGUCGCGUCUUCAGAAACUCAGCCUGGCUUCUGCCUGGUGUACUUUUCUGUGGGACGGGCCAGCAUCAGUUUCGGUCGCCAGAAAAAGGUGGGAGGAAGGUGGCACCUCCGGGUGUGUUAUAGCCUCCCAUCGUAUGUGGCGACGGGGACUGAGGACCGCAGCACGCCUUUAUGGCCGGGGUUCGCCCACGUAACGUGCUUAGGAUGCUGGCGUAAUGGCUUUAAACGACCCGUCUUGAAACACGGACCAAGGAGUCUAACAUGCCUGCGAGUAUUUGGGUGGCAAACCCAUAUGCGGAAUGAAAGUGAACAGUUGGGACUUCUGUCAUGGAAGGGCACCGACGCCCGGGACCAGACCUACUGUGACGGAUCCGAGGUAGAGCAUGUAUGUUGGGACCCGAAAGAUGGUGAACUAUGCCUGAGUAGGGUGAAGCCAGAGGAAACUCUGGUGGAGGCUCGUAGCGAUUCUGACGUGCAAAUCGAUCGUCGAACUUGGGUAUAGGGGCGAAAGACUAAUC
rnacentral:rRNA from 1 species